rnacentral:rRNA from 1 species
UCAACAAUAAGCGGAGGAAAAGAAACCAACAGGGAUUACCUCAGUAACGGCGAGUGAAGCGGUAACAGCUCAAAUUUGAAAUCUGGUCCGGUCCCGGGCCCGAGUUGUAAUUUGUAGAAGAUGCUUUGGGUGCGGCUCCGGCCUAAGUUCCUUGGAACAGGGCGUCAUAGAGGGUGAGAAUCCCGUCUGCGGCCGGCUGCCUGCGCCCGUGUAAAGCUCUUUCGACGAGUCGAGUUGUUUGGGAAUGCAGCUCUAAAUGGGUGGUAUAUUUCAUCUAAAGCUAAAUAUUGGCCAGAGACCGAUAGCGCACAAGUAGAGUGAUCGAAAGAUGAAAAGCACUUUGGAAAGAGAGUUAAACAGUACGUGAAAUUGUUGAAAGGGAAGCGCUUGCAGCCAGACUCGCGGGCCGUCGAUCACCCGGUGUUCUCACCGGGGCACUCGGCGGCCCUCGGGCCAGCAUCAGUUCGGGCGGCCGGAUAAAGGCCGCGGGAAUGUGGCUCCCCUCGGGGAGUGUUAUAGCCCGCGGCGCAAUGCGACCUGCCUGGACUGAGGACCGCGCUUCGGCUAGGAUGCUGGCGUAAUGGCUGUAAGCGACCCGUCUUGAAACACGGACCAAGGAGUCUAACAUCUAUGCGAGUGUUUGGGUGUCAAACCCAUACGCGUAAUGAAAGUGAACGGAGGUGAGAGCCCGUUAGGGUGCAUCAUCGACCGAUCCUGAUGUCUUCGGAUGGAUUUGAGUAAGAGCAUAGCCGUUGGGACCCGAAAGAUGGUGAACUAUGCCUAAAUAGGGUGAAGUCAGAGGAAACUCUGAUGGAGGCUCGCAGCGAUUCUGACGUGCAAAUCGAUCGUCAAAUUUGGGUAUAGGGGCGAAAGACUAAUCGAACCAUCUAGUAGCUGGUUCCUGCGG